UACGGAAGGGGCUAGCGUUGUUCGGAAUUACUGGGCGUAAAGCGCACGUAGGCGGCGAUGUAAGUUGGGGGUGAAAUCCCGGGGCUCAACCCCGGAACUGCCUCCAAAACUACAUGGCUCGAGGAUGUGAGAGGUUGGCGGAAUUCCGAGUGUAGAGGUGAAAUUCGUAGAUAUUCGGAAGAACACCGGUGGCGAAGGCGGCCAACGGGCACAUUUCUGACGCUGAGGUGCGAAAGCGUGGGGAGCAAACAGG
rnacentral:rRNA from 1 species